UAUCAUCAAGUAUGUAACCAUUCACGGUAUAAUGAUUUAAAAUUGAGAAAAUCGCAUGCUUCGACCAAAAAUAUACAACCAAAAACAAAGUUAAAAUGGGUCAAAAUUAAUAAAAGUGGAUGAUCAUGUCUUCAACCCUCCCGGCUGCCUCUGACGAAGAAUUUAAGAAAACUCU